rnacentral:rRNA from 1 species
UACGAAGGGGGCUAGCGUUGCUCGGAAUCACUGGGCGUAAAGGGUGCGUAGGCGGGUCUUUAAGUCAGGGGUGAAAUCCUGGAGCUCAACUCCAGAACUGCCUUUGAUACUGAGGAUCUUGAGUACGUGAGAGGUGAGUGGAACUGCGAGUGUAGAGGUGAAAUUCGUAGAUAUUCGCAAGAACACCAGUGGCGAAGGCGACUACCUGGCCUGUUCUUGACGCUGAGGCGCGAAAGCUAGGGGAGCAAACGGG